rnacentral:rRNA from 1 species
UACGUAGGGUGCGAGCGUUGUCCGGAAUUAUUGGGCGUAAAGAGCUCGUAGGCGGUUUGUCGCGUCUGCCGUGAAAGUCCGGGGCUCAACUCCGGAUCUGCGGUGGGUACGGGCAGACUAGAGUGAUGUAGGGGAGACUGGAAUUCCUGGUGUAGCGGUGAAAUUCGUAGAUAUCGGGAGGAACACCAGUGGCGAAGGCGGCGGCCUGGACUGAUACUGACGCUGAGGUGCGAAAGCGUGGGGAGCAAACAGG